UUUAAAAGUUUGCAGUUGACAGAGUUCAGAAAAAGAGCACAAUUUCAUGUGAUUGCUUCAUUUCCUUCUGCACUUUCUUUGCUCAGGUUGCUAAGUGGAUGAUUUUACAGUGAACCUCUUGCUGCUGUUGGAACUGCUGCACAGGAACAGGGACAAUGUGUAACAAAUGAAGCAUUAACAGGACAACUCCUUCUGCCUUAUGUGCUAAGUCUGCUGAGCAUGCACAGAGAACCUGCGGCUUUGUAGAAACAACUGUGUUAACAGCAUAUGUGUGAAACACUUUCCUUGCACAUGGGCAAUAGACUACCUGUUGGAAGCCAAGAGCACAACUGCAAGACAACUGUUCAGUGGAGGAACAUGAAAACUCAUGCAUAGCCUGGAAGCAGAAAAUGCAAUGCACAUGGGCAGAGACAAACUGUUGCACAUGCCCAGGAUGGUUGGCGCUCAGGGCAUAGCAGCUCUACACUUGUCCCUGGGUACCUGAGACUUCUCUGAGAAGGCAGCUCAGUGCUGGCUGCUCUUGCACCUUCUUCCAGGACAGUUCCUGCAAGUGUCCUCAGAUAAAAUGGGACCAGCACCCAAGUAAGCAAUCCUGCCUUAUACAGAAGAGAAUAGAUUACUUUAUUUCUUUUUCCCACUAAUUACUAUAUAAUUGACAUAGGCAGAAAAUAUACAGAAAGUGGAAUGGAAACAAGUUGUAAUUCAUAAGUAAAGUAAACUGUAAGGGAAAUUGUGAUCAAGAACAAAUGUUUGUAACUGCCUUUGCUAGUGUAUAGUAAGAUAUUUGUUCAUAAAUUAGUUCCUGCUAAUGGACAACCAAUUAAUGGACCAAUCUAUAGCUUGUAAAAAUCUCAGCAAUCUAUUCAGCAAUUAACAGAGAUGUAUUGUAUUAAGCUGCUUUGGUUAAGUGGGAUGUCAGCAACAUUUACUCCAAAAUUAUGCAGUACCUGCAUAGAACGUUUCACAUAAUGUUGUGCUAAGAUUGCAUUAAGUCAUUUUAUAUUUUUUUUUCUCUCAUAACUGCAAACGUAUGUGGUAAAUUAUUUCAAUUCAUUUUUCCCCAUUAACUUUUAUCUUGAGAAAAGUAAAUACAUGAUUGUUUUCUAAUUUUCCAUCCAAAUAAACAAGAGUAGCCAUGAUAUAAAUAACAGGAGCAGUUUAGCAUUUUGGUUAACACUUGGAUCAUUAAAAACGUUUGAAAAGAUAUGUUAAAGCAAUUCCACUUGUAUUUUUUUCUCAAAAAAUUUUUGCCAGUGGUCAUUUAGUAUCUUUUUUCUCUAAUGGAAUGCAGAAAAGGGAAGAUAUUGAGCUUAGCAGAAACUUGCAGAUGAGUAUGUUAUCAUGCAUCCUUAAAACAUAUAAAUUAGCAAAAAGGCAAUUAAACAUCCAAAAUAGAAUUGUAGUCCCUUUCAGAAACAAACUGCAUUUAUUUCUGUUAAAGUUCAUUGUCAAUGAUAUUGAAUUUAAUUGUCAAAACAAUCAAACAGAAAUGCUGUGAUACUGGUACUUAAGUGACGUACUCUACUAUGGGGAAGGGGAGUUGACUGUAGUGCUUUCUAUAAUGCAUAUGAACUUGUACCUCUGCAAUGAACUUUCUGGUUGCUCAGCUGUAUCUCUUGUAUCCACAGUAUUAAAGUGUAUCCUGACCAUUCAUAGAACACUCAAAAUACUUGACAAACAGAAGGAAAAUGUAAUAACAACAUAUUAUUAUUAUAUUUGUCCUGGCAUGUAAAUCUAAUAUUACUAAAGAUUCUCCUUUAUACAGCAUUUUGAAACCUAUAGAUGACCAAUGCUAUCCAAAGAACUGUUUCUUUGCUGGCAGUAUUUUCUCUUAUUUGGAAAUCCCAGCCUUUGUGUGCCAGCUCUGCUGACAAAUAAUGAAGGAAUAUUCACAUCUUUUUCACACUGGGUAUCUAAAAAUAAGGUUUUGAAGAAACUAAAAAAUCUUGCUGCCGAGUUUCUUUGCACAGUGCCUGAUGAAAACAGACAGCUUCAAGAGAUUUUGAAUGAAGUAGGUGACAUGAAUAUCCUGUUUCAAAUAUAUUACAUUUUCCUAGGCCCUGAAAGGGCUCGACUGAAGUCAAGGAGUAGAGAAAUGUGAAUUGAAUUAAGAUAGGAGAGUUAAGGGCUCUUGCUCUUCAAGAGAAGAGCUCAUGCUCUUCAGUAUCUUCAUCAGUGACAUAGACAAUGGCAUUGAGUGCACCCUCAGCAAGUUUGCAGAUGACACCAAGCUGAGCACUUCAGUCGAUACACUGGAAAGAAGGAAAGCCAUACAGAGGGACCUGUAUAGGCUGGAGAAGUGGGCCCAUGAAAACCUAAUGAAAUUCAAUAAGGCCAGGUGCAGAGUGCUGCAUUUGUGUUGGGGCAAUCCCAGGUAUUUAUACAAACUGGGGGAAGAUCUCCUUGAGAGCAGCCCUGCAGAGAAGGACUUGGGGGUCCUGGUGAAUGAGAAGCUGGACAUGAGCCAGAAGUGUGCACUUGCAGCCUGGAAGGCCAACUGUGUUCUGGGCUGUAUUAAAAGAGGAGUGGCCAGCAGGGAGAGGGAGGUGAUUGUCCCCCUCUACUCGGCUCUUGUGAGGCCCCAACUGGAGUACUGCGUCCAGGCCUGGGGCCCCCAGUACAGGAAGGACGUGGAGCUCUUGGAGUGGGUCCAGAGGAGGGCCACUGAGAUGAUCAGAGGGCUGGAGCACCUCUCCUGUGAGGAAAGGUUGAGGGAACUGGGCUUGUUUAGCUUGAAGAAGAGAAGGCUCUUGGUAGACUGUAUUGUGGCCUUCCAAUACUUGAAGGAAGCAUAUAAACAGGAGGAGAAAGGACUGUUUAGAAGGGCAGAUAGUGAUAGGACAGGGGGGAAUGCUUUUAAACUGCAACAGGGGAGGUUUAGGUUAGAUAUUAGGAGGAAGUUUUUCCACACAGAGGGUGGUGACUCACUGGAACAGGUUGCCCAAGGAGGUUGUGGAUGCCCCAUCCCUGGAGGCAUGCAAGGCCAAGCUGGAUGUGGCUCUGGGCAGCCUGGUCUGGUGGUUGGCAACCCUGCACAUAGUGGGGGGGUUGAAACUAGAUGAUCAUUGUAGUCCUUUUCAACCCAGGCCAUUCUAUGAUUCUAAGGGAAAAGAAGUGCAGAAAUAAUGAAGACAAUGGGCUGAGAAUAACAGACCAAAAAAUAAAAUAAAAUAAAAUAAAACACAGUUUAAAGUAACAAGUUUAAGCUAACAGUUUAACUGUUGUUUUUUUGUUUUUUUUUUUUUAACUCCUAAUCUGAUGGCUCACUUAUUGCAAGUCUUUUUAAUCUGUUAUUUGAAAUUGAAUAUUUAAAUAAAAAAUAAUUCUCAUGAGAGCUUGAGGUUGCAUCUAGGUAAUUUAGCAGUAAUAAUACAAUCUUCCUCUAAUAAACUGUGAAAUUCUUGACCUCAGAGAUUAACCUGGAUAGCAUUAUUACCUAAUAAAUAGGUGUCAACUGUUUACAGGCUGGUCUGGCCUGGUUCUGUGACUAGUGGGGCAGAGGGAUUUCUUUUCCAAAAUCCGCGCCUCCAGAAAAGGGAAACAGGGGACUCCCCCACAAAAAAAAAGAAUAGUUAAAAAAAACAGCGGCAACGAUCUGAGGAGAAACAAACUAAUUUACUAAAUAUAGUAUCGGAAUGCACAAUAACACACUAUAAUACAAUAUAAUUCAAUAUAAUUGUUAAUAAAAUCAAAUAUAAUUGAGAGAAGGAUUGUCCAAGAGCUAAAGGCCUUACACUAAUACUGAAGCCUUGCGUGCAGUCAGGAGCAGCAGCGAGACAAUCCGAAAGCGAGCAGGACGAGAUGAGAAGAAGAGACGACCCAGGUCAGGUGACCUACAGGCCUUAUAUCUGUUCCCCUGAGCAGGAAUGAUAACAGUACUCGAACAGUCUUCUGGGGAAUGUAGUUCUUCUUCUCUUCCGGACGAGUACCCAGAACUAGAGCAUUUGCUCUCUAACUCCCAGUACACUGCAUGAUGUUAUGAUGUGAAAUACCGAUAACCAAAAAUCAUAAAACCAUGACAAUAGGGAAAUUCUACAAGCUAUGGUUAUAUUAUUCACAAGCUUCCACAAUAUAUUAAUAACUGGCCUGUUCUACUUUGUAAAAGGAAAAAAAAUAUGUAACAACACAAAACUUUGUUAUGUUUACUCCUCUCUGUCAAGUCUUCAAGCAGGAUACAGUAAAUGGAAGUCUAUCAUAUAUGACUUAUCCUGCAAAGCAGAAACUGUCACAUGAAGAUCUCAGUGUAUUGCUGAUGAUAGUGAACUGAGAAACAAGAGGUGGAGAAAAAGGGUCUCCUUCUGCUGGAUGGCCAUGAAAAUCUGCUAGGUGAGGUUUGUCCAAGUUCAGUCUUGUCAGAUUAAAUUUUGUGGAGGACAAA
ensembl:lncRNA